ensembl:misc_RNA
AUGACAGCACUUGAAGAUUAAUUUCUGUAUUUAUCUGCAGAAGUAGUUCAGCAUGGAGGUAGGAGGAGGGCAGCAGUGCAUGCUUCCUCAACAAAUAUGUCUGAACCCUGACCCUGGAGAGGUCACCUCUAAAGAUGAGUUUCCAUACUCUCUCAAUCCUUGACCUCA